AGCCUUUUUUUGUUUGUGUAAAAUUGUUGUUUUCUAUCCUUACAAUCAUGCGUUGGUAGUUUACCAUGUACAUUAAAUAACAUUCUUGUGCAUUGUAGCCACACAACUGAAAAUUACACUGCUUAUUCCACAUGAUUUUUGCAUUAAAAAAUGUCUGAUGGAGGAAGGCUUAUCCCACAGUAUUGCACUAAGAAGUUCUCAGUCAACUAAUCGAGAAAAGGCCUCAAAUCCUGGCUUCACCUCUAUAGGGCUAGUUUGGAAGUCCAAAACCCGGAGUGGAUUGAAGGUGCUAAAAUCUCCUCCUUAAGGCUAGUUUGAGAACCACAAUUUUCCAAGGGAUUUCUAUUUUCCCAUAGGAAAAUGAACUAAUUUUCCUUGGAAAAAUAGAAAUCCCAUAAAAAAUGGGGUUUCCAAGCCCUUAUAUUUCGAAUAAACAGAGGAUUUUAAUCCCUCCAAUUCCCUUCGGGUUUUGAACUUCCAAACUAGCCCAUAGGGUCGCACCAUUACUUGGGUUUGUGAGUGAUGACCACUGCCGCCACUAUCCCUGUUGGGCUGCACCAUUAUCACAGGUGGCCACUGGGCAGUGGCCUUGCCACUAUUUUUUUAGGGUUGCCAGAGAGGGGCCUUUUUUUGUACUGCAAAUCCUGGACAGCAGCUCCUUCACCUAGGGAGCUGACAGUUACAUUAUGGAAGCAUUGGCAGGAUCCUGCACCACAUUUGGUCAGUAGAGUGUCCUCGUAUGUUUAAAUGACACUGUACUUCCUGGUUGCAGUUUAACUAUUUACUAUAUUUAAGUAUUCACCUCGCAAUUUUAAGCGCGCUAAGUUUUGUUAUUCUUUUCACUGUUUUAAACAUGUUAAAUGACAAAUCAACAGCUGUCUCUAACCUAUUGUAUAUCAAUAUAAAAAACAAUUUAUGUUCGGCUCCUGUGUUUUCAAGUCGUCCGACUAAUCGCGAUUAGUCGCGAUUAGUCGGGCUAGUCGGUUAGCAGAGCUCGAUUAGGCAGCCGACUCGACUAGAGUACCUGGUCGCCCUGGUCGUCCGACUAGUCGACGAUUAGGGCCGAUUAGUCGCUCGAUUAGCCGGUUCUGGGCGACUAGGUUUAGGACCUAGAUUUUUUUGGACUUGUAGUAUUAAUGUGUGUUGUGUGGUACUGGUAUCUGGGACUUGUAGUAUUAAUAACUAGAAGUGUUUCUCUGCUGUUUUCACUUUUCAGUAUUGCUGAAUUCAUGUCAUGUUUACCCUAUCCUUCAUAAUAUAGUAUAUGAAGUUCAUAUAUACUAUAUAGUUAUAUAAUUAUUUACUAUAUAGUAUAAUAGUAUAAUAGUAUAUAUUAUAUAGUAUAUACAUAGGUCCUGGUCUCCUGGAUGAACAGGACGACCAGUAAACGACCAGGUCGACCAGAGCUCGAUUAGUCGGACCUAGUCGACGACUAAUCGAGAUUAGUCGCUGGUCGGUCCCCCAGUUCGACUAGCUGGUCGAGCGACCAGAAAACAUAGUUCGGCUCUUUAAAUUGAGAAAUUAGGGGCGUAUCCAAUGUUCUGACUUAGUGCUAGCUGAACCAAUUUUUUACUGAUUGAAUAUUGCAAAAGGCAAAUGCCUUUUGCUACCUCUCCUCACCACGUUUGCUAGCUUAGAACCAGUGUUAGCUUAUAUUGUUGGAGAUGCCCUAGGUGCCAUGAUAUAAUAGACUCUCAAAUUUUAACCAUUGUUAAUUAUGACAGCUACAACUUGGCUGUCAUGUGGGCUACAAACAACUUGGCUGUCAUGUGGGCUACAAAUUUCUCUUUGCUGUUUCUGCAGCUUUAACUCUUGAUAAAUGCACAACUAGAUUCCAACAAGAUUUAAGAACAUGGUCUCUCUUCUAGCUAUAAAGUUGCUUCUUAAACAUCAAUGCUAUUUGCAAAAUUGAACUUCUAACUAAAAAUGCUGAGCUGGGCUACCAGUGUUGAAAUGUCAUGCAAGUAUCUCUGUACAUCAACAUUCUUACAUUCUGAACACUACAAUAUUUUUCAGUGCUUUGCAAACAUUUUGUUUUUCUAGAUUUAUUUUCAAUACUUAAUGAAUUAAUAAUCCUCUUUUUGAGGGAAAAAACUUUCUCAGAUUCGUAAAAUGGCAAAGGAUCCAAAUACCACAAACUUGAUUCGGUUUAUGAAAAGUUCUUAAAUUUGUGUAGAUUAUUAUAUCGAGAACGAUGAUAUACGUGAUAGCCUGAUAGGCUAGGGGUAACACCAAUUGAAAUGGUCUAGAUAUAUCCAACAGAAACCUCUAGAUGCACUAGUACAUAGUGAUAUUCUAAGGCACGAUAGUAAUAGAAAGAGAGACAUGAGAAAGCCGAAGUUGACAUGGAAAGGUACAGUAGAAUGAGAUUUGAAAUGAUGGAAUGUAUCCAAAGAUUUAGCCUUGAAUAGGAGCGAAGGGAAAACACUAUUCAUGUGCUUGUGAUUUGUGAUUUCUGUUAGGUUUCAAAUCUAGCCUAUCUCAACUUGCUUGGCACUAAAAGGCCUUUGUUAUUGUAGAUGUUUAGGGGUUUAGGGUUUUAGGGUUUAGGAUUGGAGUCCCAGAUCUCGGACCUGCGCGCGGAGAGGAGCGAAUUCGAGAGCCAACUGGAGGCCAUGCGGGAGUCAGCUCGUGCUGUCCAGUCCGAGAAGGAAGUGUUGGAAUCAAGCUUCAACAAGCUUAAGAUGGAAAGCGAGAUGUGCAAGCAGGAGAUGGAGGCUACGCUUCAGUGUCAAUUGAAGGAGUUGGAGGCUCUGCAAUCCAGGAAGGUGGAAUUAGAGGCGAAGGUGGGUUCUUUGGAGGCAGACCUCUCAAAGGCCGUUGCCAGAAACCAUGAAUUGGAGUUGGAAGUGGGCAAACUGGAGGCAGAGAUGGCCGUUACCAAGGAGGAGGUAGAGAAGCUCCAAGCCUGGUUUGCGGAGCAAGACCAGAAGCAGUUUGUUGUGGCUGCUGAAGUGGCUAGGCUCCAAAGUGAGAUUGACCAAUCGGCCAAGGCGAAUAAAGCUGCUGUUGUGGCACAUGAGGCUGAACUGGAGAUGCUGAAGGUGAACGUGGAUAUGGUGCUGGAGAUCACUAGGCAGAGACAGCUCGCUGCUGAAAAUGAGCUGGAGCUUAGUCGGGUAAAGCAGGAUUUCGAGUCCCUGAGAACUUAUGUUAGCACUCUGGUUAGUGUGAGAGAAACUCUUCUCUCAUCAGGAAAGCAAUUUGAAACAAAGUUGAGAAAGAAACAUAAAAUCUCUGGAGACAAAGAUCAGGAGUCUCACAUAGGUAAUUAUGUACAUGCUUUUGUACCCCCACAGGUCACACAAUUAAACUGGAUUUUAGACUCAGGGGCAUCAAAACAUGUCACAGGCACGUCAAGUGAGUUUACAUCAUAUAUGAGUUAUCCUCCCACACGUAAAGAAAUGAUGCGGACUGCUGAUGGGACACUACAACCCAUCAAGGGUGUUGGCACAGUGCAAUGCACUCAAUCUAUUAAGUUGUCAUCAGUUUUGUAUGUGCCAACUUUUCAUGUCAACUUGAUAUCGCUGAGUGCCUUGGUUGAUCAAUUGGAUUGUCGCAUUAUCCUUGACCGAGAUAAUUGUUUAAUUCAAGAGAGGCAAACAGGGAAGAAACUUGGAACAGCUACCAGGCGUAGUAGAUUGUGGUAUAUGGAUCAUGAGGGGACUAAUGAUACAAUAUGCACUAUAUUAGCAACAAGAAUGGAAGAGAAGGAGGUUGCAGUGAUGCUUUUGCAUUAUAGAUUGGGGCAUAUUUCUUUUGAUAAGAUAUGCAAAGCUUUUCCUGAUGCAAUGUGUGGGGUGGAUAAAAGCAAGCUAUUGUGUCGUGCCUGUGAGCUUGCAAAACGCACAAGGACAUCUUAUAUUAGUCGAGGUAUCAGGAGUAUAUCUCCUUUUGUGCUAGUUCAUUCUGAUGUUUGGACGUGUCCUGUGACUUCUAUUAAUGGGAUGAAGUGCUUUGUUACUUUUAUCGAUUGCUUUUCUUGGAUGACUUGGGUCUAUGUGAUGAAGCAUAAAGAUGAAGCGUCGAAAUAUUUUCAAAAUUUCUGUGCAAUGGUUGAGAAUCAAUUAAACACUCAAGUUAAAGUGCUAAGAACAGACAAUGGAACCGAGUAUGUAAACAAGGAAUUUAAUGCCUUUCUAUCAAGGAAUGGUAUCUUACAUCAGACAUGUUGUCCUGAUACACCUCCACAAAAUGGUGUGGCUGAAAUGAAGAACCACCACAUUUUGGAAGUUGCUUUUUCAUUAAUGGUUACAAUGAAUGUUCCAAAGUUUCUAUGGAGUGAGGCUGUAUUGACUGCCACAUGUCUUAUUAAUUGCACUCCUUCGAAAUUACUUGCAAUGAAGACUCCAUGGGAGAUUUUUUUCGGUGAGAAUAAGUUUGUGGUUUCACCUAAAAUUUUUGGAUGUACAUGCUUUGUCAGAGAUCAUAGACCUCAAGUGGGGAAGUUGGAUCCACGUGGUGUGAAGUGCAUUUUUGUUGGGUAUACUGCAGGGCAAAAAGGAUACAAGUGCUGGAGUCCUAGUGAAUGACGACUGUUUGUAAGCAUGGAUGUUACAUUCAGAGAGAAUGUGCCUUUCUAUGGUGAGAGUACACAUCUAAAUUUUUUCCUUGAUUCUGCCUCUACUAGCACAUAUGGAGCUAGUCGAGAGGGGGAGAACAGAGAGGUUGAUCCAAAGGCUCAACAGUCACAUAAAAUGGAAUUAGUGAUUGAUGCUUCUCAACAAAAAAUGCAUUACCAAGUGAAUUGGAGCCAAACUCCAGUCACGAGAAUAAUAAAUCUUGUGGUGAUGACUUGCGAUAUAAGGGUGAAGUAUAUACAAGAAGAAAGUCUCGCUUGCAAUCUCAAGCUACUGAAACCAAUUCAGUAUCAGAUACUGAGCAGUUUUCUCCAGAUACAUUAGAGACUAUAAAUGCACCAUUGACCUCUCAUGGAGAAAUUGAAGAUUCUGCUGCUUAUGAUUUGCCCAUUGCACUACGAAAAAGAGCACGUGCUAAGGCCUGAGUUCCUCCAAAAAGGUCGGUAUUCUUGGAAAUGCUGCUGAUUUUCAAGACAAUGAUCUUAGCAGCAGUACAAUUGCAAGUAACAAUGACAGGCGGAAAAUGA